AUGCCGUCGUUCAAGGCCCCGGCGCCGGGCUUCUCCGUCCGCUUCAGCCCGUUCCACGAGCAUCGCNNNNNNNCUGCCACCUCGCAGCACUUCGGCCUCGUCGGCAACGGCCACCUCCUGGUUCUCGACCUCUCCGCCGCCGGGCCCGGCCUCACCCCGCUCUUCUCCUUCCCCACCUCCGACGCGCUCUUCGACUGCGCGUGGUCCGAGUCCCACGACUCCCUCUGCGCCGCCGCGUCGGGGGACGGCUCCGUCCGGCUCUUCGACGUCACGCUGCCGCCGGCGCAGAACCCCGUCCGCCUCCUCCGGGAGCACGCGCGGGAGGUCCACGGGAUCGACUGGAACCCCGUCCGCCGCGACGCCUUCCUCUCCGCCUCCUGGGACGACACCCUCAAGCUCUGGUCCCCCGACCGGCCCGCCUCCGUGCGCACCUUCCGCGGCCACGAGUACUGCGUCUACGCCGCCGCGUGGUCGGCCCGGCACCCGGACGUCUUCGCGUCGGCGUCCGGCGACCACACGGCCCGCGUCUGGGACGUGCGGGAGCCGGGGCCGACCCUCGUCAUCCCGGCCCACGACCACGAGGUGCUCUCCCUCGACUGGGACAAGUACGACCCGUCCAUCCUGGCCACCGGCUCCGUCGACAAGUCGAUCCGCAUCUGGGACGUCCGCUCGCCGCAGGCGCCCCUCGCCCAGCUCGCGGGGCACGGCUACGCCGUCAAGCGCGUCAAGUUCUCGCCGCACCGGCAGGGCAUGCUCAUGUCCUGCUCCUACGACAUGACGGUCUGCAUGUGGGAUUACCGGAAAGAGGACGCCCUGCUGCAAAGGUACGGCCACCACACCGAGUUCGUAGCCGGGAUCGACAUGAGCGUGCUCACCGACGGGCUGCUCGCCAGCACCGGCUGGGAUGAGAUGAUCUACGUUUGGCCAUUUGGGAGUGAUCCGAGAGCAAUGUAA
rnacentral:rRNA from 1 species